AUUCCAGCUCCAAUAGCGUAUAUUAAAGUUGCUGCAGUUAAAAAGCUCGUAGUUGGAUUUGUGGCGCGGUCGUCCGGCGGGGCUCUUUUACUAGGGCCGUUUGUCUGGUUUUCGACCGCACCAUUCUCGGGUAGCGUGUGGCUGGCAUUAGGUUGACGGCCUCUUCGCGCCCGUCGUUUACUGUGAAAAAAUUAGAGUGUUCAAAGCAGGCUUAGGCCGUUGGAUACAUUAGCAUGGAAUAAUGAGAUAGGGCCACGACGGUCUAUUUUGUUGGUUUGCACGUUGUGGUAAUGAUUAACAGGAACGGUUGGGGGUAUUCGUAUUCAAUUGUCAGAGGUGAAAUUCUUGGAUUUAUGGAAGACGAACUACUGCGAAAGCAUUUACCAAGGAUGUUUUCAUCG
rnacentral:rRNA from 1 species